GUUCCAUUAACCAUGUCUAGAUCUAGAUUCUCAAGGCGGCAUGUGAUCAAAACAAUUUCAUCUCCCUCCUCCCAUGCAUUGGCUAACAAGGAGUCAGAAAAGAAAGGAAGCUAGAUACCAAAAUGGAGAUUCUGAUUGUAGAUUUCUAUUUCUAUGCAAUUGAGAAUUAGGUGGGAAUGUUUACUGAGCCCGCAAGCUCCUACAGACAUUUCUGAAAUCAUCUUCUCAAGAUAUGUGAGAAACAAAACCACAUUUCUGAAAUCAUCUUCUCAAGAUAUGUGAGAAACAAAACCAGAUAUCUUAUUCACCGCAGCAGAGGUGUAAUACACACAGGAGGAAAAGGGGAAAACAGAGAUUUGGGAGUAACUCUUUUCUGUUUCAGUGCUUGAAAAUAAUUCCCACUGCUUGAACAGCAUCAAUCCACUGGAUAGAUGAUUUCUUUUAUUCAUUUUGUUGCUUGUUUUUUAGAGAAGAUACCAAAUGGUUGUGCUGAACUUGAAGGAAAGCACUUCUCAAUGCUCUAUUGAAUAAGUGCAACUCAUGAGUUAGAAAUAUUUUUUUGUAAUCUUUUAUCUAUUGUGAAAAGCAUAAACAAGUCCUC